rnacentral:rRNA from 1 species
UGNNAGUCGAGCGGGGUAGCAAUAUCCAGCGGCGGACGGGUGAGGAAUACAUAGGAAUCUGCCUUUAGGUGGGGGAUAGCUAGGGGAAACUCUGGGUAAUACCGCAUGAUCUCGCAAGAGCAAAGGGGCGCAAGUCUCGCCUUUAGAGGAGCCUAUGUCUGAUUAGCUAGUUGGCGGUGUAAUAGACCACCAAGGCAAUGAUCAGUAACUGGUCUGAGAGGACGAUCAGUCACAUCGGAACUGAGACACGGUCCGAACUCCUACGGGAGGCAGCAGUGGGGAAUAUUGGACAAUGGGCGAAAGCCUGAUCCAGCAAUUCCGCGUGUGUGAAGAAGGCCUUCGGGUUGUAAAGCACUUUAGUGGGGGAAGAAACAGCUUGGCCACACCAAGCCUUGACGGUACCCCAAGAAUAAGCACCGGCUAACUCUGUGCCAGCAGCCGCGGUAAUACAGAGGGUGCAAGCGUUAAUCGGAUUUACUGGGCGUAAAGGGUGCGUAGGUGGCUAUUUAAGUCGGAUGUGAAAGCCCGGGGCUCAACCUCGGAAUUGCAUUCGAUACUGAGUGGCUAGAGUUCGGUAGAGGGCGGCGGAAUUUCCGGUGUAGCGGUGAAAUGCGUAGAUAUCGGAAGGAACAUCAAUGGCGAAGGCAGCCGCCUGGGCCUGGACUGACACUGAGGCACGAAAGCGUGGGUAGCAAACAGGAUUAGAUACCCUGGUAGUCCACGCCGUAAACGAUGAGAACUUGACGUUGGUUCGUUUUACGAAUCGGUGUCGCAGCUAACGCGAUAAGUUCUCCGCCUGNGGAGUACGGCCGCAAGGUUGAAACUCAAAGGAAUUGACGGGGGCCCGCACAAGCGGNGGAGUAUGUGGUUUAAUUCGAUGCAACGCGAAGAACCUUACCUGGUCUUGACAUCUAUGGAAGUCUGCAGAGAUGCNGAUGUGCCUUCGGGAACCAUAAGACAGGUGCUGCAUGGNUGUCGUCAGCUCGUGNCGUGAGAUGUUGGGNUNAAGCCCCGC